rnacentral:piRNA from 1 species
UUGCGAAUUGAUUUUUGCAAG